CCUACGGGUGGCAGCAGUGGGGAAUAUUGCGCAAUGGGCGAAAGCCUGACGCAGCGACGCCGCGUGAGGGAUGAAGGUCUUCGGAUCGUAAACCUCUGUCAGCAGGGAAGAACGGUCACUGUGCUAAUCAGCAGUGAAUUGACGGUACCUGCAAAGGAAGCACCGGCUAACUACGUGCCAGCAGCCGCGGUAAUACGUAGGGGGCAAGCGUUAUCCGGAUUUACUGGGUGUAAAGGGGGCGCAGACGGCAAUGCAAGCCAGGAGUGAAAGCCCGGGGCCCAACCCCGGGACUGCUCUUGGAACUGCAUGGCUGGAGUACAGGAGGGGCAGGCGGAAUUCCUAGUGUAGCGGUGAAAUGCGUAGAUAUCUGGAGGAACAUCAGUGGCGAAGGCGACUAUCUGGCACAUAACUGACGCUGAGGAGCGAAAGCGUGGGUAGCAAACAGGAUUAGAUACCCGUGUAGUC
rnacentral:rRNA from 1 species